rnacentral:lncRNA from 1 species
CUGCCCCUUUCUGUUUGCCUCUUUGCCCUCGAUCUGAGGGGAUAGGAUCCAAGCUCUACCCAUGACUCCCAUUUUCUGCCACUCCUGCUCUGACCAGUCAGUGUGCAUAAGGAAAAUGGGUGAACGAAUGAAAAAACAAACAAACAAACAAACAGGGUUCUCUUAGCAAGAGAAGAAGAGGGAGCCACUGGGUCACCAACCGUCUUGCUCUGCUAUGGAAAGAGCCCGGGUAGUGUCAGCAGUUCUUGUGAAGAAAGAGGUCAAAUUUAUCUGAAAUCACCAGAUUGAAUUGAUUACCAGGUGGCAGAAGCAAAAGGCAAUGACUCUGUGCUUCCGGUUGCUUCCCCAUGGAGUCUUAGCAUCGGGCAGAGUAUGGGAAUGGAAGCAGCUCACUUCCAGUGUGUUUGGCAGCCUACAGCUUCCAGAAAGUUUGAGUAGCACUUUAAAAAACAUGAGAAAGUGAGAAGACAUGGACAGAAGUGUCGCCCAAGUGCUGUGCUGAGGAGUGGGGUCUCAAGCCCUUAGGGUUGUGGGUGUGAAUCCAAGGAGGUGGAGUCUGAAGUCCAAGGAGGACUGUAGGAGAC